GGUAACCUGCCUGUAAGACUGGGAUAACUCCGGGAAACCGGAGCUAAUACCGGAUAGUUCCUUGAACCGCAUGGUUCAAGGAUGAAAGACGGUUUUGGCUGUCACUUACAGAUGGACCCGCGGCGCAUUAGCUAGUUGGUGAGGUAACGGCUCACCAAGGCGACGAUGCGUAGCCGACCUGAGAGGGUGAUCGGCCACACUGGGACUGAGACACGGCCCAGACUCCUACGGGAGGCAGCAGUAGGGAAUCUUCCGCAAUGGACGAAAGUCUGACGGAGCAACGCCGCGUGAGUGAUGAAGGUUUUCGGAUCGUAAAGCUCUGUUGUUAGGGAAGAACAAGUGCAAGAGUAACUGCUUGCACCUUGACGGUACCUAACCAGAAAGCCACGGCUAACUACGUGCCAGCAGCCGCGGUAAUACGUAGGUGGCAAGCGUUGUCCGGAAUUAUUGGGGGUAAAGGGCUCGCAGGCGGUUUCUUAAGUCUCAUGAUUAAGCCCCCGGCUCAACCGGGGAGGGUCAUUGAAACUGGGAAACUUGAGUGCAGAAGAGGAGAGUGGAAUUCCACGUGUAGCGGUGAAAUGCGUAGAGAUGUGGAGGAACACCAGUGGCGAAGGCGACUCUCUGGUCUGUAACUGACGCUGAGGAGCGAAAGCGUGGGGAGCGAACAGGAUUAGAUACCCUGGUAGUCCACGCCGUAAACGAUGAGUGCUAAGUGUUAGGGGGUUUCCGCCCCUUAGUGCUGCAGCUAACGCAUUAAGCACUCCGCCUGGGGAGUACGGUCGCAAGACUGAAACUCAAAGGAAUUGACGGGGGCCCGCACAAGCGGUGGAGCAUGUGGUUUAAUUCGAAGCAACGCGAAGAACCUUACCAGGUCUUGACAUCCUCUGACAACCCUAGAGAUAGGGCUUUCCCUUCGGGGACAGAGUGACAGGUGGUGCAUGGUUGUCGUCAGCUCGUGUCGUGAGAUGUUGGGUUAAGUCCCGCAACGAGCGCAACCCUUGAUCUUAGUUGCCAGCAUUCAGUUGGGCACUCUAAGGUGACUGCCGGUGACAAACCGGAGGAAGGUGGGGAUGACGUCAAAUCAUCAUGCCCCUUAUGACCUGGGCUACACACGUGCUACAAUGGACAGAACAAAGGGC
rnacentral:rRNA from 1 species